rnacentral:snRNA from 1 species
UAGUGCUUGCUUCCAUCUUGAUAUACUAGAAUUGGAACCAUUCAAAGAACAUUACCAUGGUCCCCGCUUUGUGAUGACACGUCCAUUCCUGAAGCGUUCCAUAUUUUU